AACGAACGCUGGCGGCAUGCCUAACACAUGCAAGUCGAACGAGAUCUUCGGGUCUAGUGGCGCACGGGUGCGUAACGCGUGGGAAUCUGCCCUUUGGUUCGGAAUAACAGUUGGAAACGACUGCUAAUACCGGAUGAUGACGAAAGUCCAAAGAUUUAUCGCCAGAGGAUGAGCCCGCGUAGGAUUAGCUAGUUGGUGUGGUAAAGGCGCGCCAAGGCGACGAUCCUUAGCUGGUCUGAGAGGAUGAUCAGCCACACUGGGACUGAGACACGGCCCAGACUCCUACGGGGGGCAGCAGUGGGGAAUAUUGGACAAUGGGCGAAAGCCUGAUCCAGCAAUGCCGCGUGAGUGAUGAAGGCCUUAGGGUUGUAAAGCUCUUUUACCCGGGAUGAUAAUGACAGUACCGGGAGAAUAAGCUCCGGCUAACUCCGUGCCAGCAGCCGCAGUAA
rnacentral:rRNA from 1 species